rnacentral:rRNA from 1 species
UAGGGAAUAUUGCACAAUGGGCGAAAGCCUGAUGCAGCAACGCCGCGUGCGCGAAGAAGGCCUUCGGGUUGUAAAGCGCUUUUCUGGGAGAUGAGGAAGGACAGUAUCCCAGGAAUAAGGCUCGGCUAACUACGUGCCAGCAGCCGCGGUAAAACGUAGGAGCCAAGCGUUAUCCGAAUUCACUGGGCGUAAAGCGCGUGCAGGCGGCCUGGUAAGUUGGAUGUGAAAUCUCCUGGCUCAACUGGGAGAGGCCGUUCAAUACUGUCAGGCUAGAGGGCGACAGAGGGAGGUGGAAUUCCGGGUGUAGUGGUGAAAUGCGUAGAUAUCCGGAGGAACACCAGAGGCGAAGGCGACCUCCUGGGUCGCACCUGACGCUCAGACGCGAAAGCUAGGGGAGCGA